UACGUAGGGUGCAAGCGUUUGUCCGGAAUUAUUGGGCGUAAAGAGCUCGUAGGCGGUCUGUCGCGUCGGCUGUGAAAACCCGGAGCUCAACUCCGGGCCUGCAGUCGAUACGGGCAGACUGGAGUUCGGCAGGGGAGACUGGAAUUCCUGGUGUAGCGGUGAAAUGCGCAGAUAUCAGGAGGAACACCGGUGGCGAAGGCAGAUCUCUGGGACGUUACUGACGCUGAGACGCGAAAGCGUGGGGAGCAAACAGGAUUAG
rnacentral:rRNA from 1 species